rnacentral:lncRNA from 1 species
ACAGGCAAAUCACACAUUGGACCGCGAAUCCAAAUGUAUGCAAAUCGGAUAGGUGUGUUUGGCACAACAUCACCAAUUCGCAGAACAGAAAACUAGGGUUAACCCAUACGCCUCCCACAAUAAAACACCAAAUGGCCCACUUCCUCCGGAGCCCAAAACAGAGACGCCGUGGACUAAUCACACUGCCACGGAGAGUGUCAUGCCUCUCGUGCCAAGACGACAUGCCUGUGGUACCCCCACAGGUGGUUAUAGCUCAGGUAUACCCUACGGUAUAUUCUAAAAAAAAUACCAUGUCACAACACAUGCGACAUAAUACCAACAAAAGGGUUCUAUAUGUACAUGUUGAACCAAAUCAAAUUAGGGUCAUAAGGUCUCAAAAGAAGGUAACAAUAUGUACCGCUCUAUAAUUAUCAAAAAUAAAUAUUAAACAUGAUAACCUAAUUCAAAGAGUACAAAUAUGAGUCAUAUGUAUCAACUCCAAAAUGAAACUAAUAUAUUUAUUUCACAGGAACAAUUAUGUGAAAUAAUAACGAAACUCGAACAAGCGAUAAAAUGAACAAAUCAAAUUUAACAAGAGUAUCGCAGAAAGAGUACGGAAUCCGUACCUGAAUUAAACAAUGUAGUACCCAAAAUUAUAUUCCAAAUUGUCUCGUUAAAUUCUCCCCGUUCAAACUAACGAAUAUCUCCUGUUGAAGAUUGUUUACAGGCUAUCUCUUUGAACCACUAUUUCUAUGAGCUGAAUGUCGAAUAUCAAAUUGAUCAACAUAUUCCAAAUGAGUAACUGUCUCAUUUCUGAUUCUCUUAAUCUUAGGGGUCAACAAACCCCUAUGCCUAAACCCAUAAAGCUUAAUCCCCUGGUUGUCAGCAAAAUUAAACGCCCUUUCCAUACUUCUCAAGCACUUCUCAACUGGAUAAUCACUAUAGCUCCCACAAGGCUUGCAACCCACAAAAUGCGUCAUGAAAGGCCACCUCUCAUCGCCUAACCCUGGGUGAUACUUCUCAAUCAUCUCUCCAUACCUAUCCACAAUCCUUGCCCAAUAUCCAUGUAGAAAAUCAGAAUUCUCAACAAACACCUUAUUCAUCCAGUUAUCCUUCUGUAAAAUCAACAAGUAUAUCAAUGCCGACUGAUCAACCGCCUCAAAUGCUGGCCUCCCUUUUCAAAUUUGUAGUCAAAAUCUUCCCUGCCUCAUCACAAAUCGGACCCUUAGGACCCAUUGGGGACCACACAUCCAACAAAUCCAACGACCAUAUGCAGUGUUCAAUGUAAUCCAUGACUUCUGAUUAAACAACAAAUCAGGAUACCCAUGAAUCACCAUAUUAUAGUUAUCGUACUUGGAAUAUGGAAUUUCAAACACCAUAUCAGUAAACAAAGCAUCACUAUCCAUCCACCAAAUCCACUCCACUUCAGGAUGAGACAACAUUAAUUUCCUAAUCAAAGGCAAUUUUGCCCAAUACCCAGCUAACUCCCUAUCCAAAUGAGCCAUAUUAUACACAAUCUCAAUACCAUGUAGCCUACAAUAAUCAAUUUUAUUCUUGAUAGAUUUCAACAAAUAAUGAUCUCCAAUUAGGUUAUCACAAGGAUUAGGCGGCGAACCAGUGACGAGCAACAUUCGCGGCAGUUGGUAUAAAAUAUGAUAAAGCAGUUAGGUUUUUUUUAUUAUUUAUUAAUAGAUUUUAAUAUUACCCACAAAUAUAAAUUAAACCCAAUAAAUUUUAAAGCCCAAAUUGUACUAAAUUAAUUUACCCAUCUCUUAUUAAUAUUUAUUAGCCCACACAAAUUAAAUAACUAGUUUGACCAAAAUAAAUGACAAAGCCCAAUUAAUAUGUUUUAAAACAAAAAUAAAUUUAUUAUUAUUAUUUAAUAUAUAUUAUUAUUUUUUUAUUUUUUUUUCGGGUAUUACAUCACUUACCCCUUAAAAAGGAUUCCGUUCCCGGAAUCAAAAGAAUGAACGUAUCUAAUUAUCAAAAGAUGCGGAUACUCCGCUCGAAUAGACUCCUCUAUCUUCCAAGUAGCUUCCCGCUCUGAAUAAUUUUACCACAAGACUUUAACAAAAUGAAUUAUCUCUCUCCAUUUUAAUUUAAUCAGUUAUUUACUCACCAACUAAAAGAAUUUAAUUUUCCAAACAAAACAAGGAAGAAAAGAGGGAAACAAAAAUUAUUUACCUUUUUUUUUAAUUUAAACACAAUUGUAUAAGAUAAAAUCAAUUAAUAUUUAAUAAUAAAAAAAUGAGUUAUUACAUUUUUCACCCCUUAAAAAUAAUUCCGUCCUCGGAAUUCAAAUAAGCUACAAAAAAAUAAUAAUUUAGUUACGACGUAGCGCCGCCAUUUGUAACGAUCAAGCCUGGUAAGUCCAUAGGUCCACACAAUUAUCCAUGUACUCGUAAAAGAUUCAUCGGCUACCGUGUCAAGCCUUGGUAAGGUUCUUCGCGUUAAAUCACAUGAUCCAUUGUUGGUGCGGCCCUUGUCAAUUUUCUUGAUUUUCGUUCUUGUAAACGUACGUACUCUUUGGAAAAUAAUUCAAAAUCACAAAAACAUUUCUCUUCAUCUAAAUACGAUUCGAAUACCCAAAAUAUUUAAAAUUAUUUUUAAUUCGUAAAAUGUUUAUGUUCCACACAUGACAAGGAUCUAACAAAUUAUUUUUGUUUUAUUUUACAUAAAUUCAUGCAAAACUCUAAAGACAUCAGAUAAAUAAAACAACUUAAAUUAUAUCACCAACUCUCACUAAGUCCUCAAGAAUUUCAAAAUAUCAUAACCUCCAAUCAAAUUAGUUCUCAAAUAUUAUUACACCAAAAAUAUACUACUACUAAGAUCUCUCCAUCACCAUCCCAAACUCCAAAUCAUAUAUCCUACUAUCUGAAUAAGCAAAUGAUAGCUUUCAAAAUCUCUUAAAGAUUCAUCACUUAAUAUCUAAUCAUUCAAUAAAUCAAUCAUUCUCUUAGUGCAAACCUUAACCCAACAAAUUCCAAAAUCUCCUCAUACUAUCACUCAAAAUUUCAUAUAAGAUAACUCCAAUAUUCUACUAGGAAAUAAUCGCAAAAUUCAUUUACUCCAAAAGAUUAAUCUAAUUACCUCGAAUCUUUACAACAACUCAAAAUUACAAGAGAUCCUUUGUAUUUAAUAGUUUUCACUUUAUCAUAUUAUCCUACCGAUUCACAUACCUCAAAUUAUUCAUAACUUAACAAAAAUUAGAGUCUAACCCAAAUAAAAUCCUCAAUUCCAAAAUCAUAAUAAUUUGUAAUUACCUGAAAUAACUCUAACAAAUAAUUCUCCAAUAUCAAAACUCGAUGAUACAAAUACUCAUAUCAUAAUCGUAUAAUCAUUUCUUAAUUGAACAUAAUAUAACAUUAUUCUCCUUAAUGAUCUAAUCAUAAUCCUUAACUAAUAUUAUUGCUCCAACACAUAAAAUUAAUAAUCUUAACAAAUUAUCUCGGCUUUCUAUUAUCAACUACAACUCAAAGAGCUAAAAACACUUUGUCAAAAUCAAGACCAACCAAACAGAGAACAAAAUCGAAUCAAAUUCCUAUGUCUACCCAGUGAUUUACCCACAACUCAAAGGUCAAACCUAAAUAGGUUUUUUACAAGAAAGAACCUAAGCUUUGAUACCAUAUCUGUAACACCCCCUUCCCGAAAAGGAAAGGGAGGUCACGUACAAAGCACAACAAAUCUCAAAAUAAGAAAACAUAGCACUAAUAACCUCAAAAUAUUAAUAGUGGUGAUCCAUUAAUAGCGUACUAAAUACAAUUCUCCAAAUAGAGUCAAAAUAAUCAAAACUUAAAAUUCGAAUCAACCUAAAUGGUCAAAGGCAAAACUCUCACCACAUUAGCCCUGAAUCACCCCUGCAAACCUGCCGGAAGAAAAACACAGCAUGAGCCAAUUGCCCAGUACGGAUACAGAUAUACAAAAGAUAUACCACUGAUAUACAAAAACAACUGAGACAAAAUACUGAACAAAGCCUCAAGUACAAAUACGAACGAAAAUAUAAUAUCCAAAGAUCUGAAUGGAAUAUAUCUGAAUCAACAUAAUUGACGAAAUCAAUAAAAGAAUAAAGAAAUAACGAACUGAAGUAACUAACUCAAUGACUUUAACUGAACAGAAACUAACAAAACUAAUCCAAUAAAAUAAUAGGUUGAAACAAAUGGCUGGAGUUAUUUCAUACCGAAUGAGCUCAGAAAUAUACCUUGCCACACAAACAAAUCAAAAUAAUGCCACACAGAUAAGUCAAAUGAUGCCACACAGGCAACCAAAAUAAUGCCACACAGGCAAAUCACACAUUGGACCGCGAAUCCAAAUGUAUGCAAAUUGGAUAGGUGUGUUUGGCACAACAUCACCAAUCCGCAGAACAGAAAACUAGGGUUAACCCAUACGCCUCCCACAACAAAACACAAAAUGGCCCACUUCCUCCGGAGCCCAAAACGGAGACGCCGUGGACUAAUCACACUGCCACGGAGAGUGUCAUGCCUCUCGUGCCAAGACGACAUGCCUGUGGUACCCCCACAGGUAGUUAUAGCUCAGGUAUACCCUACGGUAUAUUCUAACAAAA